rnacentral:lncRNA from 1 species
AUGAGGGCCGGGCCUGGAGCCCGUCCUGGCUCCAGACGCCUCCCCAGUGGGAUGGGGCUGGCAGCCGUGAGGCUGGGAGCGGGGGAGAUAAGAUCGGGUGACUCACCGCCUGGCUGGAGGGGCUGCUCUGUGAGAGGGGGUGUGGAGCCAGGCCAGGGCAUCAGGCUCGCCGUGGACGCGGGUUUAUCUCCCAUGGAGCGUCUCAGCAGAAGUCAGACCCAUGAGUCUAAAGCCAAGCGGGGCGCGGCCUGGCCGCGGCGAGGGCUGAGCCAGGUGAGAAAAAGAAGAGUUGCCAUAAACAAAUCUUUCAAAACCUGGGAGCCGUGCACAAAGACCAUGGACCCCCUGGGCUGCGAGCCCCUCCCCGCCCCGCUCCAUCCUCCACACCCACCGGACGCCUGGCUGUGGCGUGGCGGGCUCUGUGUCCACCUGCGGCCCCUCUGCGGCCCCACCUGGCAGGGGCCCAGGGGUUAGGAUGCAGGUCCCUCUGCGGCGUUGCUGUCGGACUGCAGGCUGGCUUGGAGUGACCUCCCUCUGGCACCCUUCAGGGAAGACUUGACUGCUGUGCAAACCGCCGCCCGGGCCCCUCUGCCUGAGCCAGCCCGUGCAGGUGCCACACCUCCGCCUCCCGCCACCAUCCGUCCAGACCUGGGCCUGCCCCUCCCCCUCCUCCCUCCCCCCUCCUCCUCCCCUCCCCCCCUUCUCCCCCCUCCACCCUUCCCCGCUCCUCUUCAUGCCCAGCCCUCCUCUGUCUGGUCCACCCUCCCUCUGUCCACCGGCCACACUGGCCCCCGGGGGGAUGUGAGCUCUGGGGCCGGGGGAGGGGGGCGCAGGGCGUCUGGCUGCUGCCAUCUUCUUCCUCCUGGAGACUUCAUCCUGCGGAACCCACCCAUCGCUCCGUCCCGCUAAGUGAGCCUGUAGCGACUGUGGGUUGUUCAUGCCACCGGGACAGCCAGUGCCAAAUGUUCUCGGCCCCACGCGGGACCUCCCGAGGGAGAGGCCCUCCCGUGGGGUCAGACUGAGCAAAUGACGUAGAAUUUGGGAGAAAAUAAGCUCUCCCAGUCCUGUUUCCCCCUCAUCUAACUGGAGUUUUGAUUUCCUGUCAGGUUAAACAUCGUGGUUUUUGCACGUGGUGAAGGAAUUCACCCGUGUAAGUUCACGCAUACUUGGAUGAACUGGUCCCGCCCGCUUGCCCUUGGGCGUUUUCUGGAUUGCUCCUUUCCCGGUUUAGAAGGACCCUUCUCCCUCUGGUUAACGCGAACCCCAUCGAAGCCUCAGCUCGCACUUUCUCUUAAGCAGAAAGGGGAGUUCCCAGCCAGCCGUGCUGCUUUUAUUUAUAGCACUUGAUUUCCUGAGAGGAGUCAGGGAACGUCCGUCCUCCCCUGGCCCCUCGGGCUCCUCCUCUGCCCUCGGUCCCCCAGCUGCGGGCGGGCGGGGGCGGCGUGGGGGCUGGACGGGGACCCCCGUGCCAGGU